UACGGGGGGGAGCAAGCGUUGUUCGGAUUUACUGGGCGUAAAGGGCGCGUAGGCGGUCAGCACAAGUCAGUUGUGAAAUCUCCGGGCUUAACUCGGAAAGGUCAACUGAUACUGUGCGACUAGAGUGCGGAAGGGGCAACUGGAAUUCUCGGUGUAGCGGUGAAAUGCGUAGAUAUCGGGGAGGAACACCAGUGGCGAAAGCGACUUUCUGGGCUGCACCUGACACUCUAGUGCGAAAGCGUGGGGGAGCAACAGG
rnacentral:rRNA from 1 species